rnacentral:rRNA from 1 species
UAUUAUUAAAAAUUUAUAUUAAUUAUUUAUAUAUUAUUAUUUUAUAAAAAAAAAUUAAUUAAAAUGGCAGUAUUUUUUAAAAUUAGAGGAUUUUGUUAUUUAAUAGAUAAUACACUUUAUAAAUUAUUUAAUUUUUUUUAUUGUAUAUUGUUGUAUUAAACUAAUAUUUUAUUAUUAUUUAAUUAGUAUUAUUUUUAAAAAAUUAAUUCAAAUAAACAUGCAUAUUAUAAUUAAAUUUUAAAUGAAAUACAAUUUAAAAAUAAAAUGGAUUUAUAUUUGUAAAAAUAUUUUGAAAUUGGAUUUAAUAGUAAAAAUAAAUAAAUAUUUAAUUUGAAUAAUUUUAAAAAUAUGUACAUAUUGCCCGUCGUUUUUAAUUUUUUUUAAAAUAA